AGAACCAAGGGCGUGACACAUACACUUAACAAUGGACCAUACAUCUAAAAUACAAUUUGUCCUUUGACCCUAACAGUGAUUUCUUUUAAUGACUAUUUCAGUCUCAACGAUGGUCGGUCAGUUCCCACCAGGUUCUGUUCAUCAUCUGCUGCAUGAUGGUACAGGCACCAUGCCUGAGAUGUAAGAUAGUGGUGAACUGCACCAAGCCCAACACCAUAUCCCUUCUGGCCGCCCUGGAGAACGUGAUGAAGUUGUACUCCAUACGACCUGUCAUGAACCUCUCAACCCCCACCAACAUCAGCAUGUACUUCACUCUCUACGGCAUCCUGGGUGUGGAAGAAAAAGCACAACUGUUGAACACAUACAUUUGGCUGGUGAAGG